GUCUUUUUGAGUUUAAUUUAAAGUCUAAUCUGCCCACUGAUAAUAUUUAAGGGCCGCAGUAUUCUGACUGUGCAAAGGUAGCAUAAUCAUUAGUCUUUUAAUUGAGGGCUUGUAUGAAUGAUUGGACGAGAUAUAAUCUGUCUCAUAAAAAUUUAGGUAGAAUUUUAUUUUUUAGUUAAAAAGCUAAAAUAAAUUUAAAAGACGAGAAGACCCUAUAGAUCUUUAUAAUUUAUUUAUUAAUUUUUUUAGGUUAUUUUUUAAUUUUAUAAAUUAAAUUAUUUUGUUGGGGUGACAAUGAAAUUUACAAAACUUUCAUAUUUUUUAUACAUUGAUUUAUGAUAAAUUGAUCCAUUUUUAGUGAUUAAAAAUUUAAGUUACCUUACGGAUAACAGCGUAAUUAUUUUGGAGAGUUCUUAUCGAUAAAAUAGUUUGCGACCUCGAUGUUGGAUUAAGAUUAAUUCUGGGUGUAGCAGUUCAGAUUAUUAAGUCUGUUCGACUUUUAAUUUCUU
rnacentral:rRNA from 1 species